AGAACUUGAAUGUUACUCCAGCAAACAACAAAGAAGAAGAAAGAAGGAUGCUAGGGUUUGGCAUUGGAACCAGAGAGGAAGAGAAAGUUAGGGAGAAAAGAUCUUGUAUUCCACUACUUGCAUUAUGAAAAUCCUAAUACAACUUGUGUAUAUAUAUACACAGCCAUUAGGUCUGAUCAAAAAAAUUUUUAUGGCUCAACCC
rnacentral:lncRNA from 1 species